UACGAAGGGGGCUAGCGUUGCUCGGAAUGACUGGGCGUAAAGGGCGCGUAGGCGGAUGGCACAGUCAGAUGUGAAAUUCCCGGGCUUAACCUGGGGGCUGCAUUUGAUACGUGCGAUCUGGAGUGAGGAAGAGGGUCGUGGAAUUCCCAGUGUAGAGGUGAAAUUCGUAGAUAUUGGGAAGAACACCGGUGGCGAAGGCGGCGACCUGGUCCUUGACUGACGCUGAGGCGCGAAAGCGUGGGGAGCAAACAGG
rnacentral:rRNA from 1 species